AUGAACGCUGGCGGCGUGCUUAACACACGCCAGUCGAACGAAGCAUUUGCGACAGAUUUUUUCGGAAUGAAGUUGCUUAUGACUGAGUGGCGGACGGGUGAGUAACGCGUGGGUAACCUGCCUUGUACUGGGGGAUAGCAGCUGGAAACGGCUGGUAAUACCGCAUAAGCGCACAAUGUUGCAUGACAUGGUGUGAAAAACUCCGGUGGUAUAAGAUGGACCCGCGUCUGAUUAGCUAGUUGGUGAGAUAACAGCCCACCAAGGCGACGAUCAGUAGCCGACCUGAGAGGGUGACCGGCCACAUUGGGACUGAGACACGGCCCAGACUCCUACGGGAGGCAGCAGUGGGGAAUAUUGCACAAUGGAGGAAACUCUGAUGCAGCGACGCCGCGUGAGUGAAGAAGUAAUUCGUUAUGUAAAGCUCUAUCAGCAGGGAAGAUAGUGACGGUACCUGACUAAGAAGCUCCGGCUAAAUACGUG
rnacentral:rRNA from 1 species